AGUAUGUGGUUUAAUUCGACGCAACGCGAAGAACCUUACCAGGGCUUGACAUCCUCUGACGACGCAAGAGAUUGCGUUUCCCUUCGGGGACAGAGAGACAGGUGGUGCAUGGUUGUCGCCAGCUCGUGUCGUGAGAUGUUGGGUUAAGUCCCGCAACGAGCGCAACCCCUAUUGUCAGUUGCCAGCAUGAAAGAUGGGCACUCUGGCGAGACUGCCGUUGACAAAACGGAGGAAGGUGGGGACGACGUCAAAUCAUCAUGCCCCUUGUGUCCUGGGCUACACACGUACUACAAUGGCAACAACAGAGGGCAGCCAUGCCGCGAGGCAGAGCGAAUCCCAAAAUGUUGUCUCAGUUCAGAUUGUAGGCUGCAACUCGCCUGCAUGAAGUUGGAGUUGCUAGUAACCGCGCGUCAGCUAUAGUGCGGUGAAUACGUUCCCGGGGCUU
rnacentral:rRNA from 1 species